rnacentral:rRNA from 1 species
AUUGAACGCUGGCGGCAUGCCUUACACAUGCAAGCCGAACGGCAGCACGGGAGCAAUCCUGGUGGCGAGUGGCGAACGGGUGAGUAAAGUAUCGGAACGUGCCCAGUCGUGGGGGAUAACGUAGCGAAAGUUACGCUAAUACCGCAUACGAUCUAUGGAUGAAAGCGGGGGAUCGCAAGACCUCGCGCGAUUGGAGCGGCCGAUAUCAGAUUAGGUAGUUGGUGGGGUAAAGGCUCACCAAGCCGACGAUCUGUAGCUGGUCUGAGAGGACGACCAGCCACACUAGGACUGAGACACGGCCCAGACUCCUACGGGAGGCAGCAGUGGGGAAUUUUGGACAAUGGGCGCAAGCCUGAUCCAGCCAUGCCGCGUGCAGGAUGAAGGCCUUCGGGUUGUAAACUGCUUUUGUACGGAACGAAAAGGUUUGACUUAAUACGUUGGACUCAUGACGGUACCGUAAGAAUAAGCACCGGCUAACUACGUGCCAGCCGCCGCGGUAA